AGUGAACGCUGGCGGUAGGCCUAACACAUGCAAGUCGAACGGCAGCACAGUAAGAGCUUGCUCUUACGGGUGGCGAGUGGCGGACGGGUGAGGAAUACAUCGGAAUCUACUUUUUCGUGGGGGAUAACGUAGGGAAACUUACGCUAAUACCGCAUACGACCUACGGGUGAAAGCAGGGGAUCUUCGGACCUUGCGCGAUUGAAUGAGCCGAUGUCGGAUUAGCUAGUUGGCGGGGUAAAGGCCCACCAAGGCGACGAUCCGUAGCUGGUCUGAGAGGAUGAUCGGCCACCCUGGAACUGGGACACGGUCCAGACUCCUACGGGAGGCAGCAGUGGGGAAUAUUGGACAAUGGGCGGAAGCCUGAUCCAGCCAUCCCGCGUGGGUGAAGAAGGCGUUCGGGUUGGAAAGCCCUUUUGUUGGGAAAGAAAAGCAGCAGGUUAAGACCCCGCUGUUCUGACGGUACCCAAAGAAUAAGCACCGGCUAACUUCGUG
rnacentral:rRNA from 1 species